rnacentral:tRNA from 1 species
GGACACGUGGGUGAGCGGCUGAAACCACCUCCCUGCUAAGGAGGCAAGCUCCUAUCGGGGCUUCGAGGGUUCGAAUCCCUCCGUGUCCGCCA